GUAGGGGCCAAGCGUUAUCCGGAUUUAUUGGGCGUAAAGAGCUCGUAGGCGGCUUGGCAAGUCGGUCGUGAAAGUCCGAGGCUCAACCUCGGAAUGCCGGUCGAAACUGCCAUGGCUAGGGUUCGGUAGAGGAGAGUGGAAUUCUCGGUGUAGCGGUGAAAUGCGCAGAUAUCGAGAGGGACACCAGUAGCGAAGGCGGCUCUCUGGGCCGAUACCGACGCUGAGGAGCGAAAGCGUGGGGAGCAAACAGGAUUAGAUACCCUGGUAGUCCACGCCGUAAACGGUGAUCACUAGGUGUGGCGGACUCAUUGACGUCUGCUGUGCCGGCGCUAACGCAUUAAGUGAUCCGCCUGGGGAGUACGGCCGCAAGGCUA
rnacentral:rRNA from 1 species